rnacentral:lncRNA from 1 species
AUUUUACAGGGAAUGUUCAAAAGUGGUUUCCUCUCAGCUCAGUAUAGUCCCUGUCCCUUAGCUAGCCUGAAUUGGUGUCUUAAAGCUGGCACACCUGUAUAGACAAGUGCUACAGCACUUCCCAGAUGGGGGUGCUGCUCCUUUCACAGGAAGCCCCAGUCCUUAAGCACCUCUCUUGUCUUUUCUUGUGUAUGCUGCUUAUUGAGUCUGUCACAUAGAUGAAGAUCCCAACUGCCCUUAAAAUACUCAUAUCCUAGCCAGGUGUGGUGGCACACACCUGUCAGCCCAGCACUCUGGGAGGCUGAGGCCGGAAGAUCACAAAUUUGAGCCCCACCAGGGUAACUUAGCAAGACCUGACAAAAUUUUUUAAAAGCUGGGCUGUAGCUCAGUCUGCAGGCCCUGGGUUCCAGCCAGUAUUGAAAAAAUGGAGGGCCGGGGAUUUAGCUCAGUUGUUUCAUUACCUGCUACGCAAGCGCAAGGACCCAAGUUCGAUCCCCGGUACCCCCCCCAAAAAAAAGAAAGAAAGAAUGGAUAAAUAUUCAUAUCCUAAAGCAGAAAUUUAUUUUAUUUACAUUUAAGAAAAAAGUGAAAAGUUAGGAAAAACGGUAUGUACCUUUUGUGUUAGCUCUGAAGAGAACAUAAGGAAUCACCACUCGCUUCUAUCCCAGACGUUUAGUGGCCUGGCCCCUUCGCUCUGUUGUUGCCAUUUUGCAUAGAGCACUUCAGGAUGACCAAGAUGUGACUUGAAAUGACUACAUUUCUUGGUGAAUUUGUUCAGAAACUGGAUGCUUCCCCAAUAUACAGCUGUAGCUUACACUACAAUUUUUUACUGACCAGAAAGUCACCUUGUACUUUCUCCAAUCAGAAAUGCUCAGAAAGAUCAUUUUUAAAGACUUUUAAAAAUUGUGCUAGUUUUAUUCCUUGCCUAACGUUGGAGGCAGUGGUUGCUAAAUUAGCGAUAGGUUUUCCUGUCUGUAAGACAAGAAACAGUGUUCAUGAACUGAAUGCAGAGCACUCUUCUAGCCGGGCAGCUUGUGGGGCAGCCCCUUGGCUGAUAAGGUUAAGGAGCUGGACGCUUUCAGGAUUCAGGGGUGUGGAGUGCAGCAUUUCUGAACUAGGGUGCUUGUUCCCCCAAGAACAGUUGGCAGUGUCUGGAGACAUUGCUGUCAGGAUUGCAGAGGUGGCAUCUGCUAAGCAGAGCAGAGACGCUGCUAGACAGCCUGCAGCGCCCAGGACCGUCCCCACAACAGAAUGGCCCGGCCCUGAUUCUCCCCAGAACACAGUGCCGAGGCUAGAGACCCUGCUGUGUGGCAGUCUUUGAAACGCUGCCCAGGUCCUUCCCCAUUUAGCACCCUGUACUAAAAUAUGAGGGUCCCAAACGCCACCUCAACAGUGGGCUCCUGGGCUAUGGGUGUAGUUCGGUGGGUAGUGAGCACUUGCCUAGCGUGCAGAAAGCCAUGGGUUCUAAACCCAGCACCGCAGAGAAGAAAGGAAAGGAAGGAUAAAACCAUGGGCUAUGCUCGAGUCUGUAGGUAACAUACAGCCUACAUCAGAGCACAGAAUUGUUGCCUUCUGAUCUCUGUUUCUUGGUGUGCUAGGCUUCCUGGAGGGAGACAGAGCUGAGCCGACAGGUUGAGCCCUGGGCUGCUGCCUCCAUUUCAACCAGAGAACCUCUGCUUGUAACUUGAGGUUUGAGUAAGACCAAAUGUGUUAAUAAAGAAACAGAGAGGGAGGGAAGGAAUUCGUUUUCAGCUUUAAACAAAGUUUGGUACAGUGAUCCAUGCAUAGCCAUGUUUAUAGCAGCAUAAUUCAUAAUAGCUAAAUCUUGGAAGCAUCCUGCAUGUCCAACAAUAGAUGAAUAGAUAAAGAAAAUGUGGUAUUUAUACACAAUGGAGCACUACUCUGCCAUAAAGAAGGAUAAAUGAGUCAUUUGUAGGAAAAUGGAUGUAUCUUGACCAUAAUGCUAAGAUGAACUAUAUCAGACAUGGAUGGUUAAAUAUCACAUGGUUUCUCUUAUAUGAGAAACCUAAAAUGUGAGUUAUUUAAAGAGUAAAAUAAAAGAGAUGGUAGAAAACAGGGAGGUAGACUGUGGAGAUGGGAAGGGAAUUUGAGAAUGAGGGGAGACAGGAGGGCAGGGAGGGGAAGGUAAAAAUGGUUGCGAUUCAAUAUAUAUGUGUACCAGUUCCCCAAGGUGAAUGCAAUUAUUAUAUCACAAACAUGUACUAAUAAACAAAAUUUUGAAAGCUAGUCCAGCCCCUUCUUAUUUUGCAGAUGGAAAACAAUGAGGUAAAAAAAACCUAACAGCCUCUCCAUUAGUUAUAACGCAGGAUCUAGACACCUUGUCUUCUGAUUUCAAGAUGGCAAAAUGAACCCGGGCACGGUGGCGCAAGCCUGUGAUCCUAGCACUCUGGAGGCUGAGGCAGGAGGAUCCCUGUGUUCAGCUCCCGACAGGCACUGAACGGCCAUGCCCGCAUCCAUGGUGGCACCAACCAGGUGACCAAGACCCGGGGAGCUGUCCCCUGCACAAAGCAGAAGCCAGGUGGUGCCCAGAGCGGGUACUGCUCGGUGAAGAGUUCGCCCUCUCACAGCACCACCAGUGGCGAGACGGACCCCACCACCAUCUUCCCCUGCAAGGAGUGCGGCAAGGUCUUCUUCAAGAUCAAAAGCCGCAAUGCACACAUGAAAACUCACAGGCAGCAGGAGGAGCAGCAGAGGCAGAAGGCUCAGAAGGCAGCUUUCGCAGUAGAAAUGGCAGCCACGAUCGAGAGGACUACGGAGCCAGUGGGGGCACCAAGGCUGCUGCCCCUGGGCCAGCUAAGCUUGAUCAAACCCAUCAAAGACAUGGACAUCCUCGAUGAUGAUGUGGUCCAGCAAUUAGGAGGCGUCAUUGAAGAGGCUGAGGUCGUGGACACCGAUCUGCUCUUGGAUGACCAAGACUCAGUUUUGCUUCAUGGUGACACGGAACUCUAAAGCCCUGUUUGUCGGUUCCGGACAGUGAGAACCCACGGCCUCCUCCUCAUGAAUCAGGAAACCUGGACUGCCCCUCUUGUUUUGUAAACCCUUUCAAACUACCUGUUUAAAAAAGUGGUCGUUUUAUUCAGGUUUAGAAAAAAAUCCAGUUUCUUCUCCUUUUAUUUUUAUAAUUGUUUCUGUUGGGGGUUGGGGGAAUAAAUAAUUGGCACAACUAUCUUUAAGAGGUGUUUCAUCUGGGCUACACCCUCAUGACCUCAUUCCCCAUGGGGAAUGAACCUGACAUUCAUGUUCUGUUGCUCUUAGGUGUCAACCAUUCUGGUAGCCUUCUGUUGCAAAGCUUGCUGGGAGAGUGUGUGCAUGUAUGUACGUGUGUAUACAUGAGGCAGGUGGCCCUCUUCGUGCUGGGGCUCUGGAUCAUCUUUUCUACCUGGAGUUAUUUUUAUUCUAUUCUGACCCACCAGGAAGUGUUCUUUUCCCCCAACAAAAUAGCUCAGAAGAGCCUGUUUUUUUGUUUGUGGUCAGUGGAGGUUUGAAAUUACUUUGUACCACUUGGACGUCCUGUGAAACUGCCUUCACUGGGAUUUUGCUAUCGUUCACACCUGGACUAAAGCUUAUCUAGAGGCUAGCUACAAAGAAUGAGUUUUCUAGACAUAAAUAAGGACAGCAAAUACAAGGGAAAUUGCAUUGAAGGCCAACAGAAACGGUUUCAGAUACACCUUAGCUACCAUUUUGCAUUCAAACCUGAAUGUAUUCUCUCCAAGUCACUUACCAAAGCAUUUCUAGAUUUCGCUAAGCUGCUAAGCUACAUGACUUUGCUCUGCCACCUCCUGCCCCUGGCAGCAGGGCUGCUAUUGGUACUCGAAGGCAAUAAACCUGUAACCCUUCAAAAAUGUCAUUGCCCAGGCUUUUGAACUGAGUCGGACUGACCCAGCCCACUGUUGGCAAAAGUCAGCCUGGGGCGCAGCCCCUCACAGAGAGGGGCUGCUCUUCUCAGCUCCCUGUCGGUGUUAAUGCUUCAUGGCCCCUGCUCCCAGGACCCCUUCUUAGGGUAGACCCAUCCCCCAGCACCGUGGCAGUGCCACUGUCUUGCUGGGCCUCUGGCUGGCACAUUGACAGCCUGACAGUGGAGAGGCCAUCAGCAGAGGCAAGGGUAGGCCUGGGCAUCCUUUGAAUUCAGCUCUGCAGGAGCAUUUAGCACACACCCAUGGGGCCAGCUGCAGUCAAACGCAGCCCCCGGGCAGUGGUUUCUGAAUCUCAAGAAAGCCACAGACAAAAGAAAAUAGAUUCACUCUGUUUCCAUUGUUUUGUUUUCAAAGAAGUUGUUUUGGAGAUUUCCUUCAUCUUUCCUUUAGAAAAAAAAAAGUUUGCUACCGUUUCAACAGGUUGUUCUAUCUUUGUGUUUUACCGAGGCAGUUUUGAGUUACGGAGUACCCAAGCAUUGUGCACUGGCUUCUGGCAGAGCUAUUAUAGAACCCUUCCAGCUGCCAGUUCAACAGCUGGUGAAGAAGUAGCCUCUUCCCACUGGUAUCUGAGGAUGAGUCCAGAAUGGUUCCGCAGUUGAGUCUAGCAAAGCUUGUCUGGAAAAGGAGCCAAUGCCCAGAAAAAUGCUUAGAAAGCACAUUUCCUCUUGUUUGGAGAUUUGCCAGUUCUUCCAGUGUUAAGCAUUAGAGAUGAGUUGUCACAGCAAAAAAAAAAAAAAAAAAGAUGCACAGUUUGAUUUUAAUUUUCCAUGCAGUAUAGUGUAUGCAUCUCUGACUUGAAAUAACCAAAGAACUCCUCCUUAAUGGGACAGUUCGAAUACCUGAAUUAGUAUUUCUCCAUUAUCAACUUAAAAAAUUGACUUCCUAUAAAAUUUUGCACUUGUUUUUUCCUGAAAUGAUUCUGCCUGCAUGUAUGUGCUGUGUCUCAAAUCUCCCUCCGCAGCCCACCCCAAAGAACUUUCCUCCCUGAUUGUUCAUGUCUUCAACAUGGUUACUGUUUACGAUCAGAUGGUUUUUCAUUCGUGCAUUUAGACCUCUUCGAGAAAGCUUGUAUAUAAAAAAGUUAACAGAUAUAUUUUAUGGAAAAACCCAUCUUAUUUUCAAAUAUAUUUAACUGCUGUUAUAUUUUAUUAGAGGAAGGUUGUAAAUAUUUUCUAGGAGUUCUAUUGUAAAGAAAAGUAUUUUUGAAAAAAAUUAAUGUAAUAAAAAGGAAAACAUUUUUAAAUAGCGGUUGUGAUUGCUUCCUGUUCUGGCUUCAUUAUGUUCUAUUCUCAGCAAAUGACUCGCAUGCCUUCCAUAUUGGGAUGUAAUUUAUUCAGGUUUGCACUAUUAUGUAAGUUGACAUCAUAAUAUCUAGUAUGCUUAACUGUACUUUCCCUGGAAUGCAGUUCCCUUGGUCCAUAUCAAAGCACUAUGUAUAGCAUAUUCAUAAUUUUCUUUUGUAAUGUGUGUAUUUUUAAUAAGGAUUUUAUGUAACAUUUUGGCCAAAAAAAAAAAAAAGAGGACAGUAUUUUCUAGUGAAUUUUAUAACAUUUUGCUAAAAAUGUUUCUUCCUAGGUCAGUUUUUGUUAAGGUGAACCAAAAGUCUUAUUUUACCAGGGGUUUGAAAAAAGUUUGAGGCUUGAAAGCAAAGUUAUAUUUAAACAUCAUAUGUAACAAAUAAAUAAAGAUGUUUUAUAGACUUGUCCUAAAAAGGUGCAUUCCUUAAAAAAAAAAAAAAAAGAAAGAAAGAAAAGAAAAGAAACUGGGGCAUUCUAGAUUGUUUUCCCAUUCUGAGUGUUAAGGAUUUUAAAAAAUUACCACAAUACUUUUCCAGGAAGAAAACCAGGAGAAUUUUAGUGAGGUUCCAGUCAUUCGCCUCCUCAGAAAUUUAUUACAGUUCCUACAGAUGGGCAUUCAUCAGAUAGAAAUGUAACCAAAUAUACACUGUCAUAUUUAUUUGUGAAAACCUGAUUCAAUAUUGCAUCAGCUGCUCUGAAAAUAAAAUAUCUUUUUUUGAGUUUCUCUUGGCUUAAAUAUUCCUUAUUUCUAGCCCCUGAAAU